GGUUUUCGGAUCGUAAAACUCUGUUGUUAGGGAAGAACAAGUACCGUUCGAAUAGGGCGGUACCUUGACGGUACCUAACCAGAAAGCCACGGCUAACUACGUGCCAGCAGCCGCGGUAAUACGUAGGUGGCAAGCGUUGUCCGGAAUUAUUGGGCGUAAAGCGCGCGCAGGCGGUCUUUUAAGUCUGAUGUGAAAGCCCCCGGCUCAACCGGGGAGGGUCAUUGGAAACUGGGAGACUUGAGUGCAGAAGAGGAGAGUGGAAUUCCACGUGUAGCGGUGAAAUGCGUAGAGAUGUGGAGGAACACCAGUGGCGAAGGCGACUCUCUGGUCUGUAACUGACGCUGAGGCGCGAAAGCGUGGGGAGCGAACAGGAUUAGAUACCCUGGUAGUCCACGCCGUAAACGAUGAGUGCUAAGUGUUAGAGGGUUUCCGCCCUUUAGUGCUGCAGCAAACGCAUUAAGCACUCCGCCUGGGGAGUACGGCCGCAAGGCUGAAACUCAAAGGAAUUGACGGGGGCCCGCACAAGCGGUGGAGCAUGUGGUUUAAUUCGAAGCAACGCGAAGAACCUUACCAGGUCUUGACAUCCUCUGACAAUCCUAGAGAUAGGACGUUCCCCUUCAGGGGACAGAGUGACAGGUGGUGCAUGGUUGUC
rnacentral:rRNA from 1 species